rnacentral:ncRNA from 1 species
UAUAAAUCAUUGACUGAGAAGAGUAAGCUUGUAUGAUGCGCUACAGAGAGCCGGAUGGGUGAGAACCGGUGCUGCACAGCGAGCUGAAUGGACUCACGAGUGGCAGCAGGAAAUGGCUGCCCGGCCUCUGCCGUUAUCAGAUACCAAAAGGGCUGAAAAGGCCGUUUUGGAGAAAGAGGAAGCUUAUACAGCUUCAACGUGAGGUGGCACCGCGGUUCAACCGUCCUCCGC